GGCGAACGGGUGAGUAACACGUGGGUGAUCUGCCUUGCACUUCGGGAUAAGUUUGGGAAACUGGGUCUAAUACCGGAUAGGACAGCUGUUUAGUGUCAGUUGUGGAAAGUUUUUUCGGUGCAAGAUGAGCUCGCGGCCUAUCAGCUUGUUGGUGGGGUAAUGGCCUACCAAGGCGUCGACGGGUAGCCGGCCUGAGAGGGUGGACGGCACAUUGGGACUGAGAUACGGCCCAGACUCCUACGGGAGGCACAGUGGGGAAUAUUUGCACAAUGGGCGGAAGCCUGAUGCAGCGACGCCGCGUGGGGGAUGAAGGCCUUCGGGUUGUAAACUCCUUUCGACAGGGACGAAGCUUUUGUGACGGUACCUGUAUAAGAAGCACCGGCUAACUACGUGCCAGCAGCCCGGUAAUACGUAGGGUGCGAGCGUUGUCCGGAAUUACUGGGCGUAAAGAGCUCGUAGUGGUUUGUCGCGUCGUCUGUGAAAUUCCGGGGCUUAACUCCGGGCGUGCAGGCGAUACGGGCUGACUUGAGUGCUGUAGGGGAGACUGGAAUUCCUGGUGUAGCGGUGAAAUGCGCAGAUAUCAGGAGGAACACCGAUGGCGAAGGCAGGUCUCUGGGCAGUAACUGACGCUGAGGAGCGAAAGCAUGGGUAGCGAACAGGAUUAGAUACCUGGUAGUCCAUGCCGUAAACGGUGGGCGCUAGGUGUAGGGGGCUUCCACGUCUUCUGUGCCGUAGCUAACGCAUUAAGCGCCCCGCCUGGGGAGUACGCCGCAAGGCUA
rnacentral:rRNA from 1 species